UACGUAGGGUGCAAGCGUUAAUCGGAAUUACUGGGCGUAAAGCGUGCGCAGGCGGUUGGGCAAGUCCGAUGUGAAAUCCCCGGGCUUAACCUGGGAAUGGCAUUGGUGACUGCACGGCUAGAGUGUGUCAGAGGGGGGUAGAAUUCCACGUGUAGCAGUGAAAUGCGUAGAGAUGUGGAGGAAUACCGAUGGCGAAGGCAGCCCCCUGGGAUAACACUGACGCUCAUGCACGAAAGCGUGGGGAGCAAACAGG
rnacentral:rRNA from 1 species